CACGUAGGGGCGCGAGCGUUGUCCGGAAUUAUUGGGCGUAAAGAGCUCGUAGGCGGCCUGUUGCGUCCGCUGUGAAAGCCCGGGGCUUAACCCCGGGUCGCAGUGGAUACGGGCAGGCUAGAGGUAGGUAGGGGAGAAUGGAAUUCCCGGUGUAGCGGUGAAAUGCGCAGAUAUCGGGAGGAACACCGGUGGCGAAGGCGGUUCUCUGGGCCUUACCUGACGCUGAGGAGCGAAAGCGUGGGGAGCGAACAGGAUAGAAACCCUAG
rnacentral:rRNA from 1 species